rnacentral:piRNA from 2 species
UAAUACUGGGAGAUUUACUUCCUGAUCAUGGU